UACAGAGGGUGCAAACGUUGCUCGGAAUUAUUGGGCGUAAAGCGCAUGUAGGCGGCAUAGUAAGUUCGCUGUGAAAGCCCUUGGCUCAACCAAGGAAGUGCAGCGAAAACUGCUAAGCUCGAGUUCUGAAGAGGGUCGCGGAAUGGCCAGUGUAGAGGUGAAAUUCGUAGAUAUUGGCUAGAACACCAGUGGCGAAGGCGGCGACCUGGGAAGAUACUGACGCUGAGAUGCGAAAGCGUGGGGAGCAAACAGG
rnacentral:rRNA from 1 species